rnacentral:rRNA from 1 species
AUUGAACGCUGGCGGCAUGCCUUACACAUGCAAGUCGAACGGCAGCACGGGAGCAAUCCUGGUGGCGAGUGGCGAACGGGUGAGUAAUAUAUCGGAACGUGCCCAGUCGUGGGGAUAACGUAGCGAAAGCUACGCUAAUACCGCAUACGAUCUAUGGAUGAAAGCGGGGGAUCGCAAGACCUCGCGCGAUUGGAGCGGCCGAUAUCAGAUUAGGUAGUUGGUGAGGUAAAGGCUCGCCAAGCCGACGAUCUGUAGCUGGUCUGAGAGGACGACCAGCCACACUGGGACUGAGACACGGCCCAGACUCCUACGGGAGGCAGCAGUGGGGAAUUUUGGACAAUGGGCGCAAGCCUGAUCCAGCAAUGCGCGUGCAGGAUGAAGGCCUCGGUUGUAACGUAGCUUUGUU